rnacentral:rRNA from 1 species
CACAUGCAAGUCGAGCGGAUGAAGGGAGCUUGCUCCUGGAUUCAGCGGCGGACGGGUGAGUAAUGCCUAGGAAUCUGCCUGGUAGUGGGGGAUAACGUCCGGAAACGGGCGCUAAUACCGCAUACGUCCUGAGGGAGAAAGUGGGGGAUCUUCGGACCUCACGCUAUCAGAUGAGCCUAGGUCGGAUUAGCUAGUUGGUGGGGUAAAGGCCUACCAAGGCGACGAUCCGUAACUGGUCUGAGAGGAUGAUCAGUCACACUGGAACUGAGACACGGUCCAGACUCCUACGGGAGGCAGCAGUGGGGAAUAUUGGACAAUGGGCGAAAGCCUGAUCCAGCCAUGCCGCGUGUGUGAAGAAGGUCUUCGGAUUGUAAAGCACUUUAAGUUGGGAGGAAGGGCAGUAAGUUAAUACCUUGCUGUUUUGACGUUACCAACAGAAUAAGCACCGGCUAACUUCGUGCCAGCAGCCGCGGUAAUACGAAGGGUGCAAGCGUUAAUCG